AAGCAGCCUGGCAACGGCUCGCCCGGGGCUGGGGAGGGGGAGUGUGUAACACACAGGUGUUUCCCGAGGUUUCCCUGAACGGACCUCUGCGAAAAUCCACGUCGCCGGAGCAAGAGGUGCUCCCACGCUCCCUUUGCAGCUUUGGUUUGGUUUAAAAAUAAUCAGAACAAAGCAAAAACAAACAAACAAAAAAACCAACCAAACAAAAAGCCCAAAUGGCAUUAGUUCUUGCAAGCUCCAUGACCACGUUUAAAGACAAAUGUUACUGACAUUCAUAUUUGUAACUCCAUCGAAACCCCGCCAAUUACAGGACUGGAAAUCUCCCAAGCACGGCAAUAGCCCCAGAUAAGGUGCUGGGUUUUCACUUGCGCUUGAAAUUAGCUGCAUGGUAUUAUUACCUUACACCAUAGUCUUGUAAUGUUUUGGCUAUCUCAACCUCUACUUUUGAGAGUUUGGAAGCAUAAUUGGAGCAGGCUUUAAAGUUGUUUCCAAAAAUUUUAUUUAAAAAAAAAAAGGCCGUAAUUGAAAUUAUGCCAAUAAUCAAUGAGCCAUAACCUUGUCAGAAAGCUGCUUUUUCCCUAUAAACUUUGUUCCUGUUACAUCAGUGCUGUCAUGGACAAUCUUUAAAUUCUCCUGAAAAAGCAAAAACUCCUCUGAUUUAGUUAAAAUCUGUAAUGACUUUUGGUGUGUCAUUUCUCCAACACAAUCCUACCUAGGACCUCACAGAAGAAUCUGUAGCAGAGCUGCACAAAAGCUAGGUGAUCAAGGCUUUAGUCUAGGUUGGCUGCACACUUAGUAAAGCUCAUUAUAAACCUUAGUACAUACGUGCUUUUACAAAUUGUGAGAUUGCAGAGUUUUUGGGAACAAGCUGCAUUGAAGUGCACAAGUCAAUGCUUGUUAUUCCUGUGAAAAACUUGGGUGUUAGCCAGAUCCCUUUCUGGUAUCAAUAUUAUCAGAUAUCUAAGCAAACCAAGCUGUGACUCUAUGCAAUUGUGUGCAUCAGGACUAGAAAAUUUGGAGAGUUAAAAACAGUCCUUAGUUUGCUGAUGGUACAAAGACACCUUUCUGGUCUGGACCUGCUACAUGCUCCAGCACGGCUGCUGCAAUCGUGAUGGCAGGAGUUAAUAACAAAGUGAGCCAAAUAGGCUGGGUAAACUUUGCAUGUAGCAGUUCAAACAAAUCUUGACUCUUUCCUGAUGAAGUGGUGGAAUACAUGAUUAAUCGGUUGUAUGCAUCAAUAGGGCACAAUGCUAGCUACAAUAUAGAUGGAAAGGAGUUUUUUAUGCUGUUUAUUUAUUUUGUUCGAAUAGAUAAGGCAGCUCUUUUUAAAAGACAACUGGAAAUCGCUGCCCAAUGUCAAUUUCGUUUCUGUGUACUACUUUUUCACCUUCACUUUGAAGUAGUUUAUUUUGCUAAGAGUUCUACUAAGAAUUUUCAGUACCUGAAGCUAUUUGUCUUUUGAAAGAAGGAAAUAUCUUUUAGCACCACCAUCUCAUUUCCUUUUUGUCUGUGACAUUUUUAACUACUGUCCCCUCACUGAAAGCCCUCUUAAAACUCCUUAGACUUUUUAGCCUGUGUUCUUUUGAAUCAUGGAGGAGGUAAAAAAGAAGCAGUAUUCUGUUUAAUCUGGGCCCUUUCUUCAUAGAGCAUAGCAUGCUCUGGAAGCUGAGCAAUCUCAUUACGGCUAAUUUGGUGGGAGCUGAAGUGGCUCACUGAAGUGCACUGACCUGCAGCCUCAGCCCCGAAGUGGUGCAUGAAUGAACUGCUGACAUAGUUAGAGUAGAACAUUAAGAAUAAAAGGUUGAAUCUCAUUUUUUUCCUGCACCAGUUGUAAUACUUGAGUGUGUUUGUUAGGCUAAGUCAUGUGAAAUUGGGUAAAUUAAUUUUACCAAAGUAAAUGAGUAAAUCAGUUUUACUCGUUGAAGGUAAUAGAAUAGAAAGCUGUUAGGCUUUUCUGUGUAAACUAGUGGUUUAAACUAUAUCUAGUAGGGCUCAAGGAUUGGAUAUGGUAAAACCUGAACUUGGUAGCUCAAAGAUGGUACAGUGCAUUGAGUUGAUACUUUUAUGGGAAUGAGAUCUUGCUCCUGAGUGACAACUUUCCGCUCAGAACUCACCUGCCUAUAUUUAAAGCCAGGGCUCUUUUCUCCCUAUGUACAUAAUUUAUCUCAUUUUUACCUAUUGUUUCACUGACCACUCACUCUGUCUCAUAAGGUCUUUCUGCCCUCAUUUAUACCGCUUCCCUCAUUCUCACUACUAUGAAUACUUUCAUGAAUUGGCAAACUAUCAUAUCUCAUUGCUUCCUUCUCUGUCCAGGUUGUUGCUGAGAAAAGUCCUUAUAUUCUGAAAUUACAACCCAAUUAUAAUAAAUUAUGCAGAGGCAAAAAGACCAAAAUUUGCCAAGCCAGUAGUACCCACAAACACCUUACAUGCUGAUAUUGUCCAUGCUGAUUUCUGAAACUCUGAAUUUCUUGAAGAAAUCAAGAAACACCAAAUAUAUGAAUUUUUUCAAGUGAAGUGUCAAGCGCUGAGAUGGUAUAGUAAUACCUAGGAGAUCACUUCAUAUGAAUUUCAGUUCAUCCAAGUCUUUCACAUUGUAGAAGUUUUCAUUACUCAUUGAAUCCACGGGAACUUGGGGUUACUGGCUUUUAAAGUUCUUCAUAAUGAAAGACCAGUAAAUAAUUUAUCUAAAGCAAGAAAGAAGUCAUUAAUAUUACAUAUACCAGGAUGUCAUGUGUAACAGGUAUGUCUGUAUUUAGCACCACGCUGUUAUUGGUAGCCAUGGAACCUGAUCCUGUGUGGUGUUGCUCUGUUUUGAUACCUCUUUCAGACCAGAUUAAAUAGAUGAGGAAGGGUGCCAGUUUUAUGUGACACAACUCAGGUUGCAAAAUUAAUGUGUAAACAGAUCUAUUAUAUAGCAACUUCGAGUUGGUAAGUGAACAAAGACUUCAACAGUUUUGUCCCUUUUAAUACUUUGUGAGUAACUGUGGUUUAGGUGAAACUGAUAAUAAUUUUGUUGCAGAAAUGUUUAAAAAUUUGGUGGUUCAAAACUGAUAGUCAUUGUAAUACCUUGUUCGACUAAAAAAAAAAAAGUUGUCUUUUGUUCACAUCAAACCAUUUAAUAAUUACCAUAUGUUAAACUUAAAACCUUUAAAGAGCUAUGGUGGGGAAAGACAUAUGAGAUGUUACCUUAAAUUCUUUUUUUUUUAAUAUCUUUCCUUCUUGUUGAAGUGUUUAGUGUAAAUUUCUGAAAUAUUCAUUGGUACCCUGGUUAUGGUCAGUUCUUCUGCCUCAGAAGUGGAAGAUUUAAGUUCUAUAGCAGAGUGUCUUUCAUUAUAGUUAGAAAGGACUCUGAAUGAAGUAUAAUAACUUCAAAGUUAAAUGCCGUGCAAGCAUACACAAACAGCUUCCUGGACUCUAAUAUAAGCUGAAAGGAAAGGACAAAGGAAAUAUAGUUGAUAAACAAAACUUCCUCCUUUGCUUUUCUAGUCUAGUUGCAAAUCCAGCCAAGAAAUGUAAGGAGUUCAUUCAAAAAAACAAUUUUUACAUUUAGUUUUUCUAGAUUUUUUAAUUUUAUUUUUACAGGUAAUGGUCAAAUAAGUCCCAAAAUUUUUAAUGGCUUCAGAAUAACAAACAGUUCACUGGAAAGGUUGCCCAGAUAUGUUCUGUACUUAACAACUGAGCUUUUAUUUAAUUUUAUCUCAUAACAAUUACAAGAAAUCUUGAAUUAGGCUUUAUAAUAAGGAAAAAACAAGUUUGGUUUGAUAUGGAAUGUUAUAAAUCUACCACAUUCACUCUUCUGACUAUUUGUUUUACAGCUGGGAGGACCACGGCUGUAACUCAGAAUAGCGGAGAACAGCUAACAGGCUUGAGAGUAACAAAUGCCCUGGUAGAAAAGAGUGGGAUAACUAAAGAAUUGUUUUAGCAAUUUGAAGUGUGGAGGACAAGGGAAAGCUGAUGAUGAGGAAAGCUGAGGAAGAAGUCUGAAGAUCAGACACCAGAAAAGUUGCUAUUUAUAAGAUGGUAGGGGCUUGGAAAAGAAAUAGAGGAAUGUGAGCUGCUUCAGGGGUAACAGGAAUAAGAGACAGAAGAAACAGAGACAAAAUUUCUAGCCAAAGGCUAUCAGAGAAGGAGCAGAGCAGAAUAGGGGGAGUUUUCAGUCAUACAGAAGCAAGGUUCAGAAACAAUCUGAAUGUCUAGAACUUGAGCAGAUGUGAAGAAAUGAGACCCUUCUUCUCCAGCACCCCUGCACAGGUCAUGAACUGAAAUUUAACUAGAUUCAAAGAGCUGACUGGAUAAAAGGGACAACAUUUGGGGUCCCACAGAUCAUGGCAACAAUUAUUGUGAGGAUCGUCUCAGAGUCAAGCAUGCAAGCCAGAAGGCAACAUCUUUCCUUCCAUGAAGACUACUGGCAUAUAACUGCACUAUUUUAGUUCUGCAUUAUGGCUGGAAAUGUUUUCAGACUUUUCUCUUUAUUGAACGAUGAAACGCUUCAUUCAACUCGGGAAAAUGACCGAUCUUGGCAAUUGCUUACAGCACAGAGAGCAAGCAGCCACUCAUUCUUUUUUUUUUUUUCCCUGCAGCUCUGCUGCUCGUCCAGCAGGGGGAGAUACAGGAACAAGGAGCCAGUUUCUCUCAACGUCUAAAGAAAAAGACCUGGGAUCAUUUGUCAGGACAGUUCUCCUUUGUCUAAGCUACUGUACAACAGGUCAAAUACAAGACAUUUAUGAGACACUUAUUUACUAUCUUAGUUUAGUCUUCGUUUUGCAGAGGAGUAAAAGGUCUAUCAAGUAAUUAGACAGUGUUUUCCAGGCCCUGGUAUUGAGUGCUCAUCAAUAGUAAAUCAUCUGAGUUUCAGCUGUCAGUCAUUAAUAACUGAGUGCAUGUUUGAGCUGUGCAAAUCCAGGUAAAAGAGACAUAAAUGUGGUUGAAAGAGAAAGUAUAGAUUUGUUUAGCUUUUUAUUACUUAGUGCAGUAUUUUUAAGCAAACAGAAUAGUGCAACUAAGCAAAGGAAACUGAAAUGGCAGCCUACAUUAAUUGACUAUGCAUGAUAAUAGCUAUUUAACUAUGGAUAAAAGGAAGUUUAGCUAUCUAUUCAGCAUGUAAUUUUUCCUGUACCUUACCAGUGUGUUGGUCUGUUUCAUUACUAAAAUGUAUUCAUCAUGCUGUUGUA